rnacentral:rRNA from 1 species
UACGUAGGGUGCAGGCGUUAAUCGGAAUUACUGGGCGUAAAGCGUGCGCAGGCGGCUUCCUAAGUCAGAUGUGAAAUCCCCGGGCUCAACCUGGGAACUGCGUUUGAAACUGGGAGGCUAGAGUGCGGCAGAGGGGGGUGGAAUUCCACGUGCAGCAGUGAAAUGCGUAGAUAUGUGGAGGAACACCGAUGGCGAAGGCAGCCCCCUGGGCCAGCACUGACGCUCAUGCACGAAAGCGUGGGGAGCAAACAGG